rfam:Aedes aegypti strain Liverpool supercont1.9 genomic scaffold, whole genome shotgun sequence.
AAAACGGCCCUUUUCAGGGCCACUACCACAUUCCACAAAAGAGUU